rnacentral:rRNA from 1 species
CCUACGGGAGGCAGCAGUGGGGAAUAUUGGGCAAUGGGCGCAAGCCUGACCCAGCAACGCCGCGUGCAGGAAGAAGGCUUUCGGGUUGUAAACUUCUUUUAAGAGGGAAGAGCAGAAGACGGUACCUCUUGAAUAAGCCACGGCUAACUACGUGCCAGCGGCCGCGGUAAUACGUAGGUGGCAAGCGUUGUACGGAUUUACUGGGUGUAAAGGGCGUGCAGCCGGGAAGACAAGUCAGAUGUGAAAUCCCGCGGCUCAACGGGGGAACUGCAUGUGAAACUGUUUUUCUUGAGUACCGGAGAGGACAUCGGAAUGCCUGGUGUAGCGGUGAAAUGCGUAGAUAUGAGGAAGAACACCAGGGGCGAAGGCGGAUGACUGGACGGGAACUGACGGUGAGGCGCGAAAGCGUGGGGAGCGAACAGGAUUAGAUACCCGUGUAGUC